rnacentral:rRNA from 1 species
ACUACGGGAGGCAGCAGUGAGGAAUAUUGGUCAAUGGGCGGAAGCCUGAACCAGCCAAGUAGCGUGCAGGAUGACGGCCCUACGGGUUGUAAACUGCUUUUAUACGGGAAUAACGCGCCUUACGUGUAGGGCUUUGCAUGUACCGUAUGAAUAAGGACCGGCUAAUUCCGUGCCAGCAGCCGCGGUAAUACGGAAGGUCCGGGCGUUAUCCGGUUUUAUUGGGGUUAAAGGGAGCGUAGGCCGCAUGUCAAGCGUGCUGUGAAAUGUCCGGGCUCAACCCGGGCCUUGCAGCGCGAACUGGCGUGCUUGAGUCCGCGGAAAGCAGGCGGAAUUCGUCGUGUAGCGGUGAAAUGCUUAGAUAUGACGAAGAACCCCGAUUGCGAAGGCAGCUUGCUGCAGCGGAACUGACGCUGAUGCUCGAAAGCGCGGGUAUCGAACAGGAUUAGAUACCCUAGUAGUC